GGAGGGGGCCUUAGCUCAGUGCUAGAGCAUCUGCUUUGCAUACAGAAGGUCCCAGGUAGAUUACCUAGCAUCUCCA